ACAGGGUAUGGAACUUGGUUCCUCGAAUAACUUCUGGCACAGACAUCUGAGGGCAUGGCUGUCCAAGAAGAAAAUGUAGCCAUUGGUGCCAUCUAUCGACCACAGGUUAAAGAUUGGCGAUUCGUUGGAUACCGACCGAGUUAUAGGCAAAAUUUGGUGCAAAAAUGAGGAAAAUUUUACAUUUUCUCAAACAGGGUAAGGAACUUGGUUCCUCGAAUAACUUCUGGCACAGACAUCUGAGGGCAUGGCUGUCCAAGAAGAAAAUGUAGCCAUUGGUGCCAUCUAUCGACCACAGGUUAAAGAUUGGCGGUUCGUUGGAUACCGACCGAGUUAUAGGCAAAAUUUGGUGCAAAAAUGAGGAAAAUUUUCUUUUUUUUUUAAUUUUUUUAUUUUUUUAUUAUUUUUCACUCUUUUUUUUAUUUCAAGCAUUAUUAGAGUGAAAAGAAACUCAUUGCAACCCAUUGGCAUUAAAAUAAAACAAUUUAAUUUUUUUUGCAAAAUUUCCCAAAAAAAUCGUAAGGGGUAAGCCUUAUGAAAUUUUCGAGUGGAAAAUUUUUUUGAAAUUUUUUUCUGAUUUUUUAUUCUUUUUUUAAUUUAAAGCACUAUUUAAGUGAAAAGAAACUUAUUGCAACAAAUUCCCAUCAAAAUAUAUCACAUUUAAAAUUUUUGCUACAUUGCUCAAAAAUGAGGAAAAUUUUACAUUUUCUCAAACAGGGUAAGGAACUUGGUUCCUCGAAUAACUUCUGGCACAGACAUCUGAGGGCAUGGCCGUCCAAGAAGAAAAUGUAGCCAUUGGUGCCAUCUAUCGACCACAGGUUAAAGAUUGGCGAUUCGUUGGAUACCGACCGAGUUAUAGGCAAAAUUUGGUGCAAAAAUGAGGAAAAUUUUACAUUUUCUCAAACAGGGUAAGGAACUUGGUUCCUCGAAUAACUUCUGGCACAGACAUCUGAGGGCAUGGCUGUCCAAGAAGAAAAUGUAGCCAUUGGUGCCAUCUAUCGACCACAGGUUAAAGAUUGGCGAUUCGUUGGAUACCGACCGAGUUAUAGGCAAAAUUUGGUGCAAAAAUGAGGAAAAUUUUACAUUUUCUCAAACAGGGUAAGGAACUUGGUUCCUCGAAUAACUUCUGGCACAGACAUCUGAGGGCAUGGCUGUCCAAGAAGAAAAUGUAGCCAUUGGUGCCAUCUAUCGACCACAGGUUAAAGAUUGGCGGUUCGUUGGAUACCGACCGAGUUAUAGGCAAAAUUUGGUGCAAAAAUGAGGAAAAUUUUUUUUUUUUUUUAAUUUUUUUAUGUUUUUAUUAUUUUUCACUCUUUUUUUAUUUAAAGCAUUAUUAGAGUGAAAAGAAACUCAUUGCAACCCAUUGGCAUUAAAAUAAAACAAUUUAAUUUUUUUUGCAAAAUUUCCCAAAAAAAAUCGUAAGGGGUAAGCCUUAUGAAAUUUUCGAGUGGAAAAUUUUUGUGAAAUUUUUUUCUGAUUUUUUAUUCUUUUUUUAAUUUAAAGCACUAUUUCCGUGAAAAGAAACUUAUUGCAACAAAUUCCCACCAAAAUAUAUCACAUUUAAAAUUUUUGCUACAUUGCUCAAAAAUGAGGAAAAUUUUACAUUUUCUCAAACAGGGUAAGGAACUUGGUUCCUCGAAUAACUUCUGGCACAGACAUCUGAGGGCAUGGCCGUCCAAGAAGAAAAUGUAGCCAUUGGUGCCAUCUAUCGACCACAGGUUAAAGAUUGGCGAUUCGUUGGAUACCGACCGAGUUAUAGGCAAAAUUUGGUGCAAAAAUGAGGAAAAUUUUACAUUUUCUCAAACAGGGUAAGGAACUUGGUUCCUCGAAUAACUUCUGGCACAGACAUCUGAGGGCAUGGCUGUCCAAGAAGAAAAUGUAGCCAUUGGUGCCAUCUAUCGACCACAGGUUAAAGAUUGGCGAUUCGUUGGAUACCGACCGAGUUAUAGGCAAAAUUUGGUGCAAAAAUGAGGAAAAUUUUACAUUUUCUCAAACAGGGUAAGGAACUUGGUUCCUCGAAUAACUUCUGGCACAGACAUCUGAGGGCAUGGCUGUCCAAGAAGAAAAUGUAGCCAUUGGUGCCAUCUAUCGACCACAGGUUAAAGAUUGGCGAUUCGUUGGAUACCGACCGAGUUAUAGGCAAAACUUGGUGCAAAAAUGAGGAAAAUUUUAAUUUUUUCUCAAACAGGGUAAGGAACUUGGUUCCUCGAAUAACUUCUGGCACAGACAUCUGAGGGCAUGGCUGUCCAAGAAGAAAAUGUAGCCAUUGGUGCCAUCUAUCGACCACAGGUUAAAGAUUGGCGAUUCGUUGGAUACCGACCGAGUUAUAGGCAAAAUUUGGUGCAAAAAUGAGGAAAAUUUUACAUUUUCUCAAACAGGGUAAGGAACUUGGUUCCUCGAAUAACUUCUGGCACAGACAUCUGAGGGCAUGGCUGUCCAAGAAGAAAAUGUAGCCAUUGGUGCCAUCUAUCGACCACAGGUUAAAGAUUGGCGAUUCGUUGGAUACCGACCGAGUUAUAGGCAAAAUUUGGUGCAAAAAUGAGGAAAAUUUUCUUUUUUUUUUUAAUUUUUUGAUUUUUUUAUUAUUUUUCACUCUUUUUUUUAUUUCAAGCAUUAUUAGAGUGAAAAGAAACUCAUUGCAACCCAUUGGCAUUAAAAUAAAACAAUUUAAUUUGUUUUGCAAAAUUUCCCAAAAAAAUCGUAAGGGGUAAGCCUUAUGAAAUUUUCGAGUGGAAAAUUUUUUUGAAAUUUUUUUCUGAUUUUUUAUUCUUUUUUUAAUUUAAAGCACUAUUUACGUGAAAAGAAACUUAUUGCAACAAAUUCCCAUCAAAAUAUAUCACAUUUAAAAUUUUUGCUACAUUGCUCAAAAAUGAGGAAAAUUUUACAUUUUCUCAAACAGGGUAAGGAACUUGGUUUCUCGAAUAACUUCUGGCACAGACAUCUGAGGGCAUGGCCGUCCAAGAAGAAAAUGUAGCCAUUGGUGCCAUCUAUCGACCACAGGUUAAAGAUUGGCGAUUCGUUGGAUACCGACCGAGUUAUAGGCAAAACUUGGUGCAAAAAUGAGGAAAGUUUUACAUUUUCUCAAACAGGGUAAGGAACUUGGUUCCUCGAAUAACUUCUGGCACAGACAUCUGAGGGCAUGGCCGUCCAAGAAGAAAAUGUAGCCAUUGGUGCCAUCUAUCGACCACAGGUUAAAGAUUGGCGAUUCGUUGGAUACCGACCGAGUUAUAGGCAAAAUUUGGUGCAAAAAUGAGGAAAAUUUUACAUUUUCUCAAACAGGGUAAGGAACUUGGUUCCUCGAAUAACUUCUGGCACAGACAUCUGAGGGCAUGGCUGUCCAAGAAGAAAAUGUAGCCAUUGGUGCCAUCUAUCGACCACAGGUUAAAGAUUGGCGAUUCGUUGGAUACCGACCGAGUUAUAGGCAAAACUUGGUGGAAAAAUGAGGAAAAUUUUACAUUUUCUCAAACAGGGUAAGGAACUUGGUUCCUCGAAUAACUUCUGGCACAGACAUCUGAGGGCAUGGCUGUCCAAGAAGAAAAUGUAGCCAUUGGUGCCAUCUAUCGACCACAGGUUAAAGAUUGGCGAUUCGUUGGAUACCGACCGAGUUAUAGGCAAAACUUGGUGCAAAAAUGAGGAAAGUUUUACAUUUUCUCAAACAGGGUAAGGAACUUGGUUCCUCGAAUAACUUCUGGCACAGACAUCUGAGGGCAUGGCUGUCCAAGAAGAAAAUGUAGCCAUUGGUGCCAUCUAUCGACCACAGGUUAAAGAUUGGCGGUUCGUUGGAUACCGACCGAGUUAUAGGCAAAAUUUGGUGCAAAAAUGAGGAAAAUUUUACAUUUUCUCAAACAGGGUAAGGAACUUGGUUCCUCGAAUAACUUCUGGCACAGACAUCUGAGGGCAUGGCCGUCCAAGAAGAAAAUGUAGCCAUUGGUGCCAUCUAUCGACCACAGGUUAAAGAUUGGCGGUUCGUUGGAUACCGACCGAGUUAUAGGCAAAAUUUGGUGCAAAAAUGAGGAAAAUUUUCUUUUUUUUUUUAAUUUUUUGAUGUUUUUAUUAUUUUUCACUCUUUUUUUUAUUUAAAGCAUUAUUAGAGUGAAAAGAAACUCAUUGCAACCCAUUGGCAUUAAAAUAAAACAAUUUAAUUUUUUUUGCAAAAUUUCCCAAAAAAAUCGUAAGGGGUAAGCCUUAUGAAAUUUUCGAGUGGAAAAUUUUUUUGAAAUUUUUUUCUGAUUUUUUAUUCUUUUUUUAUUUCAAGCACUAUUUAAGUGAAAAGAAACUUAUUGCAACAAAUUCCCAUCAAAAUAUAUCACUUUUAAAAUUUUUGCUACAUUGCUCAAAAAUGAGGAAAAUUUUACAUUUUCUCAAACAGGGUAUGGAACUUGGUUCCUCGUAUAACUUCUGGCACAGACAUCUGAGGGCAUGGCCGUCCAAGAAGAAAAUGUAGCCAUUGGUGCCAUCUAUCGACCACAGGUUAAAGAUUGGCGAUUCGUUUGAUACCGACCGAGUUAUAGGCAAAAUUUGGUGCAAAAAUGAGGAAAAUUUUACAUUUUCUCAAACAGGGCAAGGAACUUGGUUCCUCGAAUAACUUCUGGCACAGACAUCUGAGGGCAUGGCCGUCCAAGAAGAAAAUGUAGCCAUUGGUGCCAUCUAUCGACCACAGAUUAAAGAUUGGCGAUUCGUUGGAUACCGACCGAGUUAUACGCAAAAUUUGGUGCAAAAAUGAGGAAAAUUUUCUUUUUUUUUUUAAUUUUUUGAUUUUUUAUUAUUUUUCACUCUUUUUUUUAUUUCAAGCAUUAUUAGAGUGAAAAGAAACUCAUUGCAACCCAUUGGCAUUAAAAUAAAACAAUUUAAUUUUUUUUGCAAAAUUUCCCAAAAAAUCGUAAGGGGUAAGCCUUAUGAAAUUUUCGAGUGGAAAAUUUUUUUGAAAUUUUUUUCUGAUUUUUUAUUCUUUUUUUAAUUUAAAGCACUAUUUAAGUGAAAAGAAACUUAUUGCAACAAAUUCCCAUCAAAAUAUAUCACAUUUAAAAUUUUUGCUACAUUGCUCAAAAAUGAGGAAAAUUUUACAUUUUCUCAAACAGGGUAAGGAACUUGGUUCCUCGAAUAACUUCUGGCACAGACAUCUGAGGGCAUGGCCGUCCAAGAAGAAAAUGUAGCCAUUGGUGCCAUCUAUCGACCACAGAUUAAAGAUUGGCGAUUCGUUGGAUACCGACCGAGUUAUACGCAAAAUUUGGUGCAAAAAUGAGGAAAAUUUUCAUUUUUUUUUAAUUUUUUGAUUUUUUAUUAUUUUUCACUCUUUUUUUUAUUUCAAGCAUUAUUAGAGUGAAAAGAAACUCAUUGCAACCCAUUGGCAUUAAAAUAAAACAAUUUAAUUUUUUUUGCAAAAUUUCCCAAAAAAUCGUAAGGGGUAAGCCUUAUGAAAUUUUCGAGUGGAAAAUUUUUUUGAAAUUUUUUUCUGAUUUUUUAUUCUUUUUUUAAUUUAAAGCACUAUUUAAGUGAAAAGAAACUUAUUGCAACAAAUUCCCAUCAAAAUAUAUCACAUUUAAAAUUUUUGCUACAUUGCUCAAAAAUGAGGAAAAUUUUACAUUUUCUCAAACAGGGUAAGGAACUUGGUUCCUCGAAUAACUUCUGGCACAGACAUCUGAGGGCAUGGCCGUCCAAGAAGAAAAUGUAGCCAUUGGUGCCAUCUAUCGACCACAGGUUAAAGAUUGGCGAUUCGUUGGAUACCGACCGAGUUAUACGCAAAAUUUGGUGCAAAAAUGAGGAAAAUUUUCUUUUUUUUUUUAAUUUUUUGAUUUUUUUAUUAUUUUUCACUCUUUUUUUUAUUUCAAGCAUUAUUAGAGUGAAAAGAAACUCAUUGCAACCCAUUGGCAUUAAAAUAAAACAAUUUAAUUUUUUUUGCAAAAUUUCCCAAAAAAUCGUAAGGGGUAAGCCUUAUGAAAUUUUCGAGUGGAAAAAUUUUUUGAAAUUUUUUUCUGAUUUUUUAUUCUUUUUUUAAUUUAAAGCACUAUUUAAGUGAAAAGAAACUUAUUGCAACAAAUUCCCAUCAAAAUAUAUCACAUUUAAAAUUUUUGCUACAUUGCUCAAAAAUGAGGAAAAUUUUACAUUUUCUCAAACAGGGUAAGGAACUUGGUUCCUCGAAUAACUUCUGGCACAGACAUCUGAGGGCAUGGCCGUCCAAGAAGAAAAUGUAGCCAUUGGUGCCAUCUAUCGACCACAGGUUAAAGAUUGGCGAUCCGUUGGAUACCGACCGAGUUAUACGCAAAAUUUGGUGCAAAAAUGAGGAAAAUUUUACAUUUUCUCAAACAGGGUAAGGAACUUGGUUCCUCGAAUAACUUCUGGCACAGACAUCUGAGGGCAUGGCCGUCCAAGAAGAAAAUGUAGCCAUUGGUGCCAUCUAUCGACCACAGGUUAAAGAUUGGCGAUCCGUUGGAUACCGACCGAGUUAUACGCAAAAUUUGGUGCAAAACUGAGGAAAAUUUUACAUUUUCUCAAACAGGGUAUGGAACUUGGUUCCUCGUAUAACUUCUGGCACAGACAUCUGAGGGCAUGGCCGUCCAAGAAGAAAAUGUAGCCAUUGGUGCCAUCUAUCGACCACAGGUUAAAGAUUGGCGAUUCGUUGGAUACCGACCGAAUUAUAGGCAAAAUUUGGUGCAAAAAUGAGGAAAAUUUUCUUUUUUUUUUAAUUUUUUGAUGUUUUUAUUAUUUUUCACUCUUUUUUUUAUUUCAAGCAUUAUUAGAGUGAAAAGAAACUCAUUGCAACCCAUUGGCAUUAAAAUAAAACAAUUUAAUUUUUUUUUGCAAAAUUUCCCAAAAAAAUCGUAAGGGGUAAGCCUUAUGAAAUUUUCGAGUGGAAAAUUUUUUUGAAAUUUUUUUCUGAUUUUUUAUUCUUUUUUUAAUUUAAAGCACUAUUUAAGUGAAAAGAAACUUAUUUCAACCAAUUCGCAUUAAAAUAAAUCAAUUUUUAAAAUUUUGCUAAAUUACUCAAAAAAAAGGAAAGGCUAUAGCCUUAAAAAAAUUUCAAAUUUUUAGAAUUUUUUCAAUUUUUUAUUUUUUUUCAUUCAGUUUGCUCUUGACUGUUGAGUAGAUCGGACGUGUUUUCUAUCAGCACGAGUACAAGUCAUUUCAAAAACAAUUAGAAACAAGACGAGCCAUGGAGGCAACAGGAGUGAGGCCCAUUAGGGACAAGACCUUUAAGAUCGUGUACGAGGGAAUCCCAAAACGCCCUUCUCGAUCAGAAGUGAUCGACUUUAUAGCCGAUACACUGAAGGCCGGGGCGAUCGUGACACGGAUUUAAAUGUGCACGUCUAGGGCUGUUGUUUUGUGGAAACGGAGAUGCUUGCGCAUGCGCAGAAAAUGGUGCAGGAGCACCAGGGAAAGCACUUCCUGCAGAUCGACGGGACGGCUUACCCACUGCCGAUUCUUUUGGAGGACGGAGCAACGGAGAUGCACGAGCUUCCCCCGUAUGUCACCGAAGCCGAAAUUAAAGCGCUUGCUUGCUUUGGUGAAGUGCUUUCGGUGACGGAAACCGAAUACGGACCAGAGAGCAAGGUCCCAGGAAUUAAGACUGGCGUACGCCUCGUCAAAAUUAUUCUUAUUAAACCGAAGGCUCCGGCCGUGGCAGCGAAGGCCCGCACCAACACCAACAAACCGUGCAUUGGAGAGCGAGUACGCACUCUCUACGCAUGCUUUCAAAGCUCCUCGAGCUCCCUCUCCCAUCCCUCCUUCCUCAAAGCCAGAUCCUGAUACUAAAGGUAGGCGCACAAAAGGACGACGAAACGGAUAGCGAUGCGUCUAACGCGUCGAUCGCAGGAACGGUUAAGUGCAAGCGUGGCCGUCCACCGAAAAAUCCAAAAACACUUACACAAACAGACAUACACAUUGGGGAGUAAUUGGUAUAUUUGCAAUGGAUACAUACGCUAGCUAUGUUUUUGCUUCAAUUAAUUUGAAUGCAAUAUCUAGUGCAAUUAAACUAACUUUGCGAAGAGCACAUUCGUCUGUACUGUAAAUGCACAGUAAUAAUGCACUGUAAUUUUGAGUUCGAUUAACAAUUUAUUUAGUCUGCACUGGGCAAUGGUUCACACAAGAAGAGAUCUCUUCGCUGUUCCUUCACUCUAAUCUGGCUAUCCUAAGAUAAUCCUAUUCUAAGAGUUCACUCUUUUAUCGCGCUUUGCAUUUUCUCUCAUGCUUUCUCCAUUUUACAUCCAUUCACCACACGUUACCCUGUUUGCCUAACUUCCGGCGUAAACAUUCCGGCCACCUAAAAAUCCCAUUUUUAAAUAUAUAUAUAUA